rnacentral:rRNA from 1 species
UGGGGAAUAUUGGACAAUGGGGGAAACCCUGAUCCAGCAAUGCCGCGUGAGUGAAGAAGGCCUUAGGGUUGUAAAGCUCUUUCGCCCGCGAAGAUAAUGACGGUAGCGGGAGAAGAAGCCCCGGCUAACUCCGUGCCAGCAGCCGCGGUAAUACGGAGGGGGCUAGCGUUGUUCGGAAUUACUGGGCGUAAAGCGUACGUAGGCGGAUGCGCAAGUUGGGGGUGAAAUCCUACAGCUUAACUGUAGAACUGCCUUUGAUACUUUCAUACUUGAGUUCGGGAGAGAGCGACGGAAUUCCUGGUGUAGGGGUGAAAUACGUAGAUAUCUGGAAGAACACCAGUUGCGAAGGCGGUCUCUUGGUCCGAUACUGACGCUGAGGCGCGAAAGCGUGGGGAGCAAACA